UGCCAGCAGCCGCGGUAAUACGGAGGGUGCAAGCGUUGUUCGGAAUUAUUGGGCGUAAAGCGCGUGUAGGUGGUAUUUUAAGUCAGGUGUUAAAGCUCUCAGCUAAACUGGGAUGUGCGCCUGAAACUGAAAUACUAGAGGUCAGUAGAGGAAAGCGGAACUCAUAGUGUAGCGGUGAAAUGCGUAGAUAUUAUGAGGAACACCAGUUGCGAAGGCGGCUUCCUGGCCUGAUCCUGACACUGAGAUGCGAAAGCGUGGGGAGCAAACAGGAUUAGAUA
rnacentral:rRNA from 1 species